rfam:Pteropus alecto contig15401, whole genome shotgun sequence.
GUCUACCGCCAUGCCACCCUGAACGUGCCCAAUCUCAUCUGAUCUUGAAAGCUAAGCAGGGUUGGGCCUGGUUAGUACUUGGAUGGGAGACCACCUUGGAAUACCAGAUGCUGUAGGCA